rnacentral:rRNA from 1 species
UACGUAGGGGGCUAGCGUUGUCCGGAAUCAUUGGGCGUAAAGAGCGUGUAGGCGGCUUGGUAAGUCCGCUGUGAAAGUCCAGGGCUCAACCCUGGAAUGCCAGUGGAAACUGUCAAGCUAGAGUGCGGAAGGGGCAACUGGAAUUCUCGGUGUAGCGGUGAAAUGCGUAGAUAUCGAGAGGAACACCUGCGGCGAAGGCGGGUUGCUGGGCCGACACGUGACGCUGAUGCGCGAAAGCUAGGGGAGCAAACGGGAUUAGAA